CGGGACACGUGGUAUCCUGUCUGAAUAUGGGGGGACCAUCCUCCAAGGCUAAAUACUCCUGACUGACCGAUAGUGAACCAGUACCGUGAGGGAAAGGCGAAAAGAACCCCGGCGAGGGGAGUGAAAAAGAACCUGAAACCGUGUACGUACAAGCAGUGGGAGCACGCUUAGGCGUGUGACUGCGUACCUUUUGUAUAAUGGGUCAGCGACUUAUAUUCUGUAGCAAGGUUAACCGAAUAGGGGAGCCGAAGGGAAACCGAGUCUUAACUGGGCGUUAAGUUGCAGGGUAUAGACCCGAAACCCGGUGAUCUAGCCAUGGGCAGGUUGAAGGUUGGGUAACACUAACUGGAGGACCGAACCGACUAAUGUUGAAAAAUUAGCGGAUGACUUGUGGCUGGGGGUGAAAGGCCAAUCAAACCGGGAGAUAGCUGGUUCUCCCCGAAAGCUAUUUAGGUAGCGCCUCGUGAAUUCAUCUCCGGGGGUAGAGCACUGUUUCGGCAAGGGGGUCAUCCCGACUUACCAACCCGAUGCAAACUGCGAAUACCGGAGAAUGUUAUCACGGGAGACACACGGCGGGUGCUAACGUCCGUCGUGAAGAGGGAAACAACCCAGACCGCCAGCUAAGGUCCCAAAGUCAUGGUUAAGUGGGAAACGAUGUGGGAAGGCCCAGACAGCCAGGAUGUUGGCUUAGAAGCAGCCAUCAUUUAAAGAAAGCGUAAUAGCUCACUGGUCGAGUCGGCCUGCGCGGAAGAUGUAACGGGGCUAAACCAUGCACCGAAGCUGCGGCAGCGACGCUUAUGCGUUGUUGGGUAGGGGAGCGUUCUGUAAGCCUGCGAAGGUGUGCUGUGAGGCAUGCUGGAGGUAUCAGAAGUGCGAAUGCUGACAUAAGUAACG
rnacentral:rRNA from 1 species